CCUACUGGAGGCAGCAGUAGGGAAUAUUGGUCAAUGGGUGAGAGCCCUGAACCAGCCAUGCCGCGUGCAGCUAGACGGCCUUCUGGCUUGUAAACUGGCUUUUAUCUCGGGGAUAAAAACGCCCAUGCGUGGGACAUUGAAGGUACCAGAUGAAUAAGCACCGGCUAACUACGUGCCAGCAGCCGCGGUAAUACUGUAGGGUGCAAGCGUUGUCCGGAUUUAUUGGGUUUAAAGGGUGCGUAGGCGGUCUAUUAAGUCAGUGGUGAAAUCCAACAGCUCAACUGUUGAUGUGCCAAUGAUACUGAUGGACUUGAGUACAGACGAGGUAGGCGGAAUUGACAGUGUAGCGGUGAAAUGCAUAGAUAUUGUCAAGAACACCGAUAGCGAAGGCAGCUUGCUAGCCUGUAACUGACGCUGAGGCACGUAAGGUAUGGGGAUCAAACAGGGAUUAGAUACCCUGGUAGUCCAUACAGUAAACGAUGAUUACUCGAUGUUGGCGAUACACAGUCAGCGUCUUAGCGAAAGCCGAUAACGAUAAUCCACCCUGGGGAGUACGCUUGGCA
rnacentral:rRNA from 1 species